rnacentral:rRNA from 1 species
AUUGAACGCUGGCGGCAGGCCUAACACAUGCAAGUCGAGCGAGCGGCGGAGGGGGGAGUAAUGUGUGGGGAGAUGCCCGAUAGAGGGGGGUAACACCAGGGAACGGUGUCUAAUAUCGCGUACUAUCGGAUAAACCCAUAUGGGAUUAGCUCGUGGAUGAGGUAACGGCUCACCUAGGCGACGAUACCUAGCUGGUCUGAGAGGAUGAUCAGCCACACUGGGACUGAGACACGGCCCAGACUCCUACGGGAGGCAGCAGUGGGGAAUAUUGCACAAUGGGCGCAAGCCUGAUGCAGCCAUGCCGCGUGUAUGAAGAAGGCCUUCGGGUUGUAAAGUACUUUUAGCAGAGAAGCGGUAUCUGCAGAAGAAGCACCGGCUAACUACGUGCCAGCAGCCGCGGUAAUAC